GUGCAGCAGGCGAGAAUACUUUACAAUGUGCGAAAGCACGAUAAGGGAACUCUGAGUGCCUCCUAAGGAGGCUGUUCAGGUGUCUAAAAGCACCUGGAGUAAGGGCUGGGUAAGACCGGUGCCAGCCGCCGCGGUAACACCGGCAGCCCAGGUGGUAGCCACUUUUAUUGGGUCUAAAGCGUCCGUAGCCGGUUGAGUAAGUUCCUUGGGAAAUUUGGCUGCUCAACAGUCAAGCUUCCAGGGAAUACUGCUCGACUUGGGACUGGGAGAGGUCAGAGGUACUCCAGGGGUAGGGGUGAAAAUCCAUUAAUCCCUGGGGGACCACCGGUAGCGAAGGCGUCUGACCAGACCAGGUCCGACGGUGAGGGGACGAAGGCUAGGGUCGCGAACCGGAUUAGA
rnacentral:rRNA from 1 species